rnacentral:rRNA from 1 species
UAGUUUGAUCCUGGCUCAGAUUGAACGCUGGCGGCAUGCCUAACACAUGCAAGUCGAACGGUAACAGGUCUUCGGAUGCUGACGAGUGGCGGACGGGUGAGUAAUGCGUAGGAAUCUGUCUUUUAGUGGGGGACAACCCAGGGAAACUUGGGCUAAUACCGCAUGAGCCCUGAGGGGGAAAGCGGGGGAUCUUCGGACCUCGCGCUAAGAGAGGAGCCUACGUCCGAUUAGCUAGUUGGCGGGGAAAGGCCCACCAAGGCGACGAUCGGUAGCUGGUCUGAGAGGACGACCAGCCACACUGGGACUGAGACACGGCCCAGACUCCUACGGGAGGCAGCAGUGGGGAAUUUUUCGCAAUGGGGGCAACCCUGACGAAGCAAUGCCGCGUGGAUGAAGAAGGCCUUCGGGUUGUAAAGUCCUUUCGUGGAGGACGAAAAGGUGGGUUCUAAUACAAUCUGCUAUUGACGUGAAUCCAAGAAGAAGCACCGGCUAACUCCAUGCCAGCAGCCGCGGUAAUACGGGGGGUGCAAGCGUUAAUCGGAAUCACUGGGCGUAAAGGGUGCGUAGCGGUACGUUAGGUCUGUCGUGAAAUC